UCCCUGGUGGUCCAGUGGCUAAGACUCCGCACUCCCAAUGCAGGGGGCCUGGGUUUGAUCCCUGGUCAAGGAA
rnacentral:tRNA from 1 species